rnacentral:rRNA from 1 species
AAUCUGGCGCAAUGGUCGAAAGCCUGUCGCAGCCAUGCCGCGUGAAUGAUGUAUGUCUAAGGUAAGAAAAAUACUUUCACCGGAGACGAUAAUGACGGGACCCGGAGAAGAAGCCCCGGCUAACUUCGUGCGAUCAGCCGCGGUAAUACGAAGGGGGCUAGCGUUGCUCGGAAUUACUGGGCGUAAAGGGCGCGUAGGCGGACAUUUAAGUCAGGGGUGAAAUCCCAGAGCUCAACUCUGGAACUGCCUUUGAUACUGGGUGUCUUGAGUGUGAGAGACGUAUGUGGAACUCCGAGUGUAGAGGUGAAAUUCGUAGAUAUUCGGAAGAACACCAGUGGCGAAGGCGACAUACUGGCUCAUUACUGACGCUGAGGCGCGAAAGCGUGGGGAGCAAACAG